rnacentral:rRNA from 1 species
GAUGAACGCUGGCGGCGUGCCUAAUACAUGCAAGUCGAGCGAACAGACGAGGAGCUUUCUCCUCUGACGUUAGCGGCGGACGGGUGAGUAACACGUGGAUAACCUACCUAUCAGACUGGGAUAACUUCGGGAAACCGGAGCUAAUACCGGAUAAUAUAUUGAACCGCAUGGUUCAAUAGUGAAAGACGGUUUUGCUGUCACUUAUAGAUGGAUCCGCGCCGCAUUAGCUAGUUGGUAAGGUAACGGCUUACCAAGGCAACGAUGCGUAGCCGACCUGAGAGGGUGAUCGGCCGCACUGGAGCUGAGACACGGUCCAGACGCCUACGGGAGGCAGCAGUAGGGAAUAUUCCGCAAUGGGCGAUAGCCUGACGGAGCAACGCCGCGGGAGUGAUGAAGGUCUUCGGAGCGUAAAAAUCUGUUAUUAGGGAAGAACAAAUGUGUAAGUGACUAUGCACGGCUUGACGGUACCUAGUCAGAAAGCCACGGCUAACUACGUG